rnacentral:tRNA from 1 species
GCAUUGGUGGUUCAGUGGUAGAAUUCUCGCCUGCCAUGCGGGAGACCCGGGUCCGAUUCCUGGCCAAUGCA